rnacentral:piRNA from 1 species
UCAGAGAGUGAUUCCUUGUUAGCCCUAGU